UACGUAGGUGGCAAGCGUUGUCCGGAUUUAUUGGGUUUAAAGGGUGCGUAGGCGGCCCUGUAAGUCAGUGGUGAAAUACUCUAGCUUAACUAGAGGGGUGCCAAUGAUACUGCAGGGCUUGAGUACAGAUGAGGUAGGCGGAAUUGACGGUGUAGCGGUGAAAUGCAUAGAUAUCGUCAAGAACACCUAUAGCGAAGGCAGCUUACUGGGCUGUAACUGACGCUGAGGCACGAAAGUGUGGGGAUCAAACAGG
rnacentral:rRNA from 2 species